rnacentral:rRNA from 1 species
UGGGGAAUAUUGCACAAUGGGCGCAAGCCUGAUGCAGCCAUGCCGCGUGUGUGAAGAAGGCCUUCGGGUUGUAAAGCACUUUCAGCGGGGAGGAAGGCGAUAAGGUUAAUAACCUUGUCGAUUGACGUUACCCGCAGAAGAAGCACCGGCUAACUCCGUGCCAGCAGCCGCGGUAAUACGGAGGGUGCAAGCGUUAAUCGGAAUUACUGGGCGUAAAGCGCACGCAGGCGGUCUGUCAAGUCGGAUGUGAAAUCCCCGGGCUUAACCUGGGAACGGCAUUCGAAACUGGCAGGCUAGAGUCUUGUAGAGGGGGGUAGAAUUCCAGGUGUAGCGGUGAAAUGCGUAGAGAUCUGGAGGAAUACCGGUGGCGAAGGCGGCCCCCUGGACAAAGACUGACGCUCAGGUGCGAAAGCGUGGGGAGCAAACAGG